UGAGUAACCUGCCCUUAACUCUGGGAUAAGCCUGGGAAACUGGGUCUAAUACCGGAUAUGACUCCUCAUCGCAUGGUGGGGGGUGGAAAGCUUUAUUGUGGUUUUGGAUGGACUCGCGGCCUAUCAGCUUGUUGGUGAGGUAAUGGCUUACCAAGGCGACGAUCAGUAGCUGGUCUGAGAGGAUGACCAGCCACACUGGGACUGAGACACGGCCCAGACUCCUAGGGAGG
rnacentral:rRNA from 1 species